GGUGGCCCUGGCCGCCAGCCUGGUGUCCUUGCCUGGAGGAAAUGCGAGUUCAGGCUAAGGCCGGCUGUGCCGGAGGGGCACAACACCUGAGUGGAGAUGAGCAGCCCAGGGGCGCCCUGCUGGCCCGCACCCUGCCCAGACCACAGAGGGCGAAGAGGUCGCUGAGUGAGUGGCGGGGCUGUGGGAUGGAAUUGUGUACAUGGUGUGGUGUGUGAUGUGUGGUCUAUAUCUGUGUAUGUGGUGUCUCUGUGUAGUGUAUAUCCAUGUAUGUGGUGUGUCUGUGUGUGGUGUGUGUGUGCAUGUGUGUUUUGUGUGUGUGCUGUGGUGUGUCUGUGUGUGUUGUGUGGGUGUGGUGUGCCCUAUGUGUAGUAUGUGUGCUGUGUGUGUGGUAUGUCUGUGUGGUGUGUGUACAUGUGUGUUGUGUGUUAUGUGCGUGUGUGUGGUGUGUGUGUGGCAUAUAGCUAUGUGUGGUAUAUGUGGUGUGUGUGGUGUGUGUGUGCGCACGUGUGUUGUGUAUGUGCAUGUGUGUUGUGUGGUGUAUAUCUAUGUGUGGU
rnacentral:lncRNA from 1 species